rnacentral:rRNA from 1 species
UACGUAGGUGGCAAGCGUUGUCCGGAUUUACUGGGCGUAAAGAGCGCGCAGGCGGUCGUUCAAGUCGCGUGUGAAAGCCCCCCGGCUCAACUGGGGAGGGUCACGCGAUACUGAUCGACUCGAAGGCAGGAGAGGGAAGUGGAAUUCCCGGUGUAGUGGUGAAAUGCGUAGAUAUCGGGAGGAACACCAGUGGCGAAGGGCGACUUCCUG